GACGGAGGGUGCAAGCGUUGUUCGGAAUUACUGGGCGUAAAGGGCGCGUAGGCGGUCUGUUAAGUUCGGUGUGAAAGCCCCCGGCUUACCCGGGGAACUGCGCCGGAAACCGACAGACUCGAGUACCGGAGAGGAGGGUGGAAUUCCUGGUGUAGCGGUGAAAUGCGUAGAUAUCAGGAGGAACACCGGUGGCGAAGGCGGCCCUCUGGACGGAUACUGACGCUGAGGCGCGAAAGCGUGGGGAUCAAACAGG
rnacentral:rRNA from 1 species